GCCUGGAUAGCUCUGUUGGUUAGAGCUUUGUAUUGAUAACACCAAGGCUGCAGGUUCACACAGCUGCAUAUUCCUGCAUUGCAGGGGGUUGGGCU